rnacentral:lncRNA from 1 species
GAUAUACAAAAAAAAGAAGAUGCUCCACAGGGCACAGCUUUAUACGACCGCAGAGGUUGAACCCUGAACGGUUGGGGCAAGUAUGGACACAACAUUCAAGCUGGAUUCAGCUCUAAAUUUGGAUUGUGAUUAAAUAGUUGAGACAGCAUAGGUUUCUGACACAGAAUGAAUGUGGUCUAAUGAACUUAAAUUUCUUUUUUUUUUUGCCUUUGAGCGAUUCACUAUGCUGUUGAAUAUUAAUCCUAUCAAAAAAAAAAU